rnacentral:rRNA from 1 species
GAUGAACGCUGGCGGCGUGCCUAACACAUGCAAGUCGAACGCUCGCAAGAGAGUGGCGCACGGGUGAGUAACACGUAGCUAAUCUGCCUUCAAGACAAGGAUAACUGUAGGAAACUACUGCUAAUACUUGAUAAGCUUACGGACCGUAGAGGUCUAUAAGAAAGAUUUAUCGCUUGAGGAUGAGGCUGCGCGCCAUCAGCUAGUUGGUAAGGUAAUGGCUUACCAAGGCGACGACGGCUAGGGGACCUGAGAGGGUGACCCCCACACUGG